GACGAACGCUGGCGGCGUGCUUAACACAUGCAAGUCGAGCGGUAAGGCUCCUUCGGGAGUCCACGAGCGGCGAACGGGUGAGUAACACGUGAGUAAUCUGCCCUUCACUUCGGGAUAACCACCGGAAACGGUGGCUAAUACCGAAUACGACCAGUCUUCGCAUGAGGUGCUGGUGGAAAGUCUUUUCGGUGAAGGAUGUGCUCGCGGCCUAUCAGCUUGUUGGUGGGGUAAUGGCCUACCAAGGCUUCGACGGGUAGCCGGCCUGAGAGGGUGACCGGCCACACUGGGACUGAGACACGGCCCAGACUCCUACGGGAGGCAGCAGUGGGGAAUAUUGGACAAUGGGCGAAAGCCUGAUCCAGCAACGCCGCGUGAGGGAUGACGGCCUUCGGGUUGUAAACCUCUUUCAGUACCGACGAAGCGCCCUGUCGGGUGGUGACGGUAGGUACAGAAGAAGGGCCGGCCAACUACGUGC
rnacentral:rRNA from 1 species